rnacentral:rRNA from 1 species
GAUGAACGCUGGCGGCGUGCUUAACACAUGCAAGUCGAACGAAGCACUUUAACCUGCUUCUUCGGAUGCAGGUUUUUGUGACUGAGUGGCGGACGGGUGAGUAACGCGUGGGUAACCUGCCUCAUACAGGGGGAUAACAGUUAGAAAUGACUGCUAAUACCGCAUAAGACCACAGAGCCGCAUGGCUCGGUGGGAAAAACUCCGGUGGUAUGAGAUGGACCCGCGUCUGAUUAGGUAGUUGGUGGGGUAACGGCCUACCAAGCCAACGAUCAGUAGCCGACCUGAGAGGGUGACCGGCCACAGUGGGACUGAGACACGGCCCAAACUCCUACGGGAGGCAGCAGUGGGGAAUAUUGCACAAUGGGGGAAACCCUGAUGCAGCGACGCCGCGUGAGCGAAGAAGUAUUUCGGUAUGUAAAGCUCUAUCAGCAGGGAAGAAAAUGACGGUACCUGACUAAGAAGCACCGGCUAAAUACGUG